rnacentral:rRNA from 1 species
UACGUAGGGUGCAAGCGUUUAAUCGGAAUUACUGGGCGAAAGCGUGCGCAGGCGGUUUUUGUAAGUUUGUCGUGAAAGCCCCGGGCUCAACCUGGGAAUUGCGAUGAAGACUGCAAGGCUUGAAUCUGGCAGAGGGGGGGUAGAAUUCCACGUGUAGCAGUGAAAUGCGUAGAGAUGUGGAGGAACACCGAUGGCGAAGGCAGCCCCCUGGGUCAAGAUUGACGCUCAUGCACGAAAGCGUGGGGAGCAAACAGG